rnacentral:rRNA from 1 species
AAGGAGUUGGGCCUCCUCAGUGAUGGUUAUUUAACAGCUGCGGUAUUUUAACUGUACUAAGGUAGCAUAAUAGUUUGCCUUAUAAUUUGAGGCUGGAAUGAAUGGUUUGACGAGGGUUAAUCUGUCUCUGUUUUAUUUAGUAGAAAUUAAUUUUUAAAGUGAAAAAGCUUGGAUUUUUUAAAGGGACGAGAAGACCCUAGUGAGCUUAUAAUUUUAUUUUGUUGUUAGUAAAUAGUAGAGAUGAAAUUUUAAUUGGGGUGAUUAAGGAAUAAAAUAUGUUUAUAUAACUUCCUUAGAUUUGGUAUAGGUAUAUAAAGUAACCAAUAAAUAUAUUGCUUAUAUUAUAGUUACCAUAGGGAUAACAGCGUAAUUUUCUUAGAGAGUUCUUAUUGAAAAGUGAGAUUGCGACCUCGAUGUUGGAUUAAGGUAACCUUAAGGUGUAGCAGCUUUAUUAGGUAAAUCUGUUCGAUUUUUAAAACUUUACA